rnacentral:lncRNA from 1 species
UGAACUUUCAGCUUUAAAAUUUAAAGAAAAGCUUAAAUGCCAUGCAAAUUAUAAAUAUGUGUGUGUUACAGCUGCCAAGUACAAUGCUUCUCUCUGGGAUUGGGAGAAGGUUAAAAACCAUUUGUUAGGUAUUUGGCAAAAUAAUAAUAAUAGCUUGGAUCUUCUGGAACUUCAUCACCAUAACCAAGACAUUCAAAAUAAUAGAGCCGAUUUUUCGGAUCCUUCUUCUUUGGCUAACCAAAUAUUGAAGGAGUUAAAUGGAUUUAACCCUGGAAAUAUUCUUAAACACUUGACCUGGUACAUUAUUGGAUUGUUCUCCUUGAUGUUAAUUCUCAUUUGUGUUGUAAUUAUAGGAUGGCGAGUCUUUGGAACAAGAAUGCAGAAACUCGAAAGAGUGAACCACCGCCUCAUUUUUAAGAGAAAAAAGGGAGAAUAUGUGGGAAGCCAUUCUCACACGUGAUUGGGCACCUCCUGGAUUGGUUGUGAGGCGUUCUGGCCAAACUGUGUCGGAGCUAUCCACACCCUCUCCAGGUGCGAGAGCCUGUCAGUGUGGGGGUGUGACUGACCACUGACCCUGAGACCAAUCACUGACCCUGACCUUGGAAUGCUACCCCCCUCGACCUUCAUUGGAUGGAAUUUCCCCCUGAAUUUCUUGUUCCCCAAUAAAAGGCCACUCCCUGGCAUGCUCUCUCUCUCUCCUGCUAGUCCUGAGUAAGCCUUGCUGCCCCACCGGGUGGUUUGAGGGGAGAGCUGUCUCAGACCUGGUCAUAGAAAAAGGUAA